CCUACGGGUGGCAGCAGUGGGGAAUAUUGCACAAUGGGCGAAAGCCUGAUGCAGCCACGCCGCGUGAGUGAAGAAGUACUUCGGGAUGUAAAGCUCUUUCAGCCGGGAAGAAAAUGACGGUACUUGUGGAAUUAGCCCCGGCUAAUUACGAGCCAGCAGCCGCGGUAAUACGGAGGGGGCACGCGUUAUCCGGAUUUACUGGGUCUAAAGGGAGCGUUGACGGCAGUGCAAGUCUCGAGGGAAAGACGCGGGUUCAACCCCCGGACUGCUCUGGAAACUGUGCGGCUGGAGUGCAGGAGAGGUAAGUGGAAUUCCUGGUGUAGCGGUGAAAUGCGUAGAUAUUAGGAGGAACACCGGUGGCGAAGGCGGCUUACUGGACUGUAACUGACGCUGAGGCGCGAAAGCGUGGGGAGCAAACAGGAUUAGAUACCCGUGUAGUC
rnacentral:rRNA from 1 species